UGUGUGGGAAUUCAAGCUUAACAAUAAACAUCAAGACAUUUUUGAUAAAAAUGAAUCCACUGACAUCGGGGAGGAGCAAGAGAACAGCACGCUGACACUGGGUCAGAGGCUAAGACCGACAUUUCUGGGAACCACUCCCGGAAGGGCACAGAGGAGACGCUUUCAGCCUCUCAUCAGCCAGCCUGGCCUGUAGCUGCUGCACGUUAUGAGUGUGUUCCUGGCAUGACUGCUUCUAACAAAGAAAUGCUGAGGCAGUGUCACGCUGGUGUCUGUCCUCCUUACAGAAUGCCUGAACAGUUCCAUUGACUCAAAGUGAAGAUCAAAAGAACCAAAUGACAGCAAUAGCCAAGUGUAAUCAUCAGUAACCCUGUGUUCUAUCCACAGGUCUUCAUUUAGCUACUGAAAAGAUUUGAUCUCAAAUCAAUGAUCUAACCACCCAUGACCAUCUCCCACCUCUCUCCCCGUACACCCCCCAGCAUGAAUUCUGGGAACUCAGGUAAAAUGCUUUCUGGAAACCUGCCUGUAUUAGUCUGUUGUCAAGCUGCUAAUAAACACAUACCCGAAACUGGGUAGUUUAUAAAGGAAAGAGGUUUCCUUUAUAGUUCCACAUGGCUUGGGAGGCCUCACAAUCAUGGUGGAAGGCGAAUGAGAAGCAAAGUCACAUCUUGCAUGGCAGCAGGGAAGAGAGAGUUUGUGUAGGGGAACACCCCUUUAAAAAACCAUCAGAUCUUGUGACACUCAUUCACUGUCACGAGAACAGCACGGGAAAGACCCGCCCCCAUGAUUCAAUUACCUCCCAUGACACAAGGGAAGUAUAGGAGCUACAAUUCACAAUGAGAUCUGGGUGGGGACACAGACAAACCAUGUCACCGCCUAAAACCAACUCAAUAGUCUAAGGAAUUUGACUGGGGAGAAUCUGGAGAGGAUUUAAUUAAUUUGGCAAAAGGAUUAGCAAUUGAAUCUAAGUGAGAAAAGAGAAUUCUUGGAGGAAAAAAAGAUGUUUAGUUACACUGAGAAAUUAAAACCUGAAGUAAUUGCCUUUGAGAUUUUUUUCAGGAAAUGAGUAUUGAUUGCCUACUGUGUGUCAAAUUAUGUGUUUCAUGUCAAAGACUCCAAAGUAGAUAAGAUAUAGGCCCAGCCUUGGGGAGCUCAUUGAGUCACAGAGAAAGUUUGAAUGUUUCAGAGGAAUCAUCAAGAACAGGGGAUCAGCAAUCUAUUAUAUUUUAAUUGCGUCUUUUCAUGAUUAUAAAAGCAAUGCAUGCGUGCUGAAGAGAAUUUGGAAAAACAAAGAAGAAAUUAAAAAUCGUCUCUGAUCCUGCCACCAGAAAUAACCACUGUUAGCAAUUGUAUCACUUCUGUAGGUCUACAUGGUUAUCAUAAUAAGCUCUAGUAUUGAUUACAUGCAUCUCAUGUACCAGAGAUUAUGCUAGACUCUCAUUUAAUCUGUACAUUAGCCCUAUGAAGUAGGGACCAUCAUUCUCCUCAUUUUACAGAUGAGGAAACAGAGGCUUGGAGAGGUUACUCUGCCUAAAGUCUCAUAGCUAGCGAGUGGCAGAGAUUGGACUCACCCAAGCUUUGUCUUAUUCUCAAGCUCUCAACCAACCCGGUGGUGAGAAGAGCCAGCAGCAAAGCCUGUCAUCUUUGUCUUCUUUUUUUUUCUAACCUCAAAUCAGGGAGAAAAUGCCCUUUGUCAUUAGAAGGGCAAGGCAAUUCUGAAGACAGCCCAGUUGGCUUGUCUCCGAUUUGGCUUUCAGGGGCCUGUCUGAUACCUAUGGAGAGACGAGGGCUGAACAAGCUGUACUCUCAAAACAAAACAAAGCAAAACAAAACUUUAGUCUCUUUAGGGACUCUCUGAUAGUAAUGCAGAGGGAGAAAGGCUUUCUUUGUCUCACUGGGAGGAAGGUUCCCUACGGAAAUUGAAGGCAGUGCCUGUUGACAUAGCGCUGCCACCUGGUGGAAAUAAUGGUGUAGGACAUCAUGUCCAGCACCACUAGCGCUGAGACACUCCCUGGGAAGAGAAAUGUUUGGAGAGAAAUUUGCAAGAAGUUGGAAGUCUCGCAGUAGCAGGUAGGAACAAGAAUUAUAACUGCUACUGUGACCCCCUAAGGCUCCUCACAUCCUCUUAAGGCUUGGAGAAACUCACACUAUGUAUAUUUUCCUGUAUUUUUGAAAAAUGUUUUCCUUUAUGCUUUGUUGUAAUGAAAUUACCUCUGAUGGUCACAUACCUUAAAUAUUUAGUAUAUAUAUGAAUACUAAAUGUCCAUUUUCAGGAGUUAGUUUACCUGCAUCUAAAAUCAGGAAUAGGUCACAGAGUAACUGAGCAAAAAGUGCUGUUAGGUUUGUGCAUUUCACCCUUUGCCUGGGAUGAGAGGACCUCAAUCAUCUUGGUACUAAUGACAGGAAAAGUGCCCUCCUAUCCAUGUGUAUCGGCUACGUGACUCAAGUCUCCUUAUUUCCUUUUCUAGCAUAACAAGGGGUUGUUACUGUUGUUUUACAUCUGUGUUAAUGAGAUAAAUAAGUUUAAAAUAAAAAGAUGUGUACCAGGCAGA
rnacentral:lncRNA from 1 species